AAUAAGUGCAGACAUGAGUUUCCGCGCCCAACUUUGAUCGUCUGUCUUAUUUGAAAUUUUUUUAUAAUUAACAAUUUUGUUGUUAUAAGAUGAUAAAAUAUGAAUAGUACUUUACUCGUGACUUAUGUUUUUAUUUUUUUUUUCAAAUUUUUUUCAAAUAAGACGAAUGGUCAAAGUUGGGCGCUGAAAAUUAUGGCUACACUUAUU
rfam:Oryza sativa Japonica Group DNA, chromosome 6, cultivar: Nipponbare, complete sequence.